CAAUAGCGUAUAUUAAAGUUGUUGCAGUUAAAAAGCUCGUAGUUGAACUUCUGGCGGUUGUCUUCGCUGGCUUCGGUCGCGUUGAUGGCUGUCAUCCGCUUGGGAACCUCAUUCGGUCUUCAUUGGUCGGUGGGAGGAUCAGGCAUUUUACUUUGAAAAAUUAGAGUGUUCAAAGCAGGCUUAUGCCGUUGAAUAUAUUAGCAUGGAAUAAUGAGAUAGGACUUUUUUGCUAUUUUGUUGGUUUGCGCAAAGAGGUAAUGAUUAAUAGGGACAGUUGGGGGUAUUCGUAUUCCAUUGUCAGAGGUGAAAUUCUUGGAUUUUUGGAAGACGAACUACUGCGAAAGCAUUUACCAAGGAUGUUUUCAUUAAUCAAGAACGAAAGUUAGGGGAUCGAAGACGAUCAGAUACCGU
rnacentral:rRNA from 1 species